rnacentral:lncRNA from 1 species
CAGGCAUCCGCCACCACACCCAGCUAAUUUUUGUAUUUUUAAUAGAGAUUGGGUUUCACCAGGUUGGCCACGCUGGUCUCGAAUUCCUGACCUCAGGUGAUCCACCCGCCUCGGCCUCCCAAAGUGCUGGGAUUACAGGCGUGAGCCACCGCACCCGGUGAUGCCCAAUCUUUAGAUGAAACCUCCUCUCUGUCUGGCCCAGGGCUGGGUGGUCACAGAGUCAAGGCUCAGUCUGCAUUAUUUCCUUGGCCUCUCCCCCGGCAUCUUCUGCACCUCACUCUGCACUCCCCGAUCCCUCCAGGUGAGCCCAGGACCUGCCACACUGUGCCAGCCUCGCCCAAGCCACCCCCCAGCCAGGACGCGGUCUUUCCUGACUCAGCAGGCUGAGGCACCUGAGGCUUUCAUUUUAAUUAUGAACCACUUCAAAGCCUUUCUGGAAGCAGUCUCUGCAAUAACCAACCUGGGUUCUCUCCUAAUGUGGGGAUUGUCCUGGAGCCCAGGCCUUCCAAGGCUCCUCCGCCCGCCAACAUCACCUACCUCAUCUUCCUCUUCAGCACAUCCCCAACAUUGUCUAAGCGGUAACUCACCUGAGCAAAGCACUUGACACGGAUUCAUUCAUUUACUCCUCACAACAACCUGAUGAGAGCACUGAUUAACUUCAAAGGGGAAAAACAAUAACCUUUACAAUGGAUAGAUCUGGCAGGAACCAUGUUAACCAAGUGAUCAAAGGUAGCAUCACCAAUAAUGGGGCAAACCGACAUCCUGUGCUUCCCCAUUGAUGCGCCGAGAAGGACACAGCAUUGCUCAUGCAGCAUCCUUGUCAAAAAUGCGUAAACGGAAUCUAAUCAUGAGAAAACUGCCAGACAGCCAAACUCUUCAGAAAUGUCAAUAUAAUGAAAGGCAACAAAGAUUGAGAAUAACUUUACCAGGUUAAAGAAAACUAAAAAGAUAUGACAACUGACUGCAACGCAGAAUCCUGGACCAGACCCUGGAUCUGGUCAAAAGAAAAAUGCUUUAAACGACAGUAUUGGGACAAAGGGUAAAAUUUGAAUGUGG